GCCUACAUGAAGCUGGAGUUACUAGUAAUCGCAGAUCAGAAUGCUGCGGUGAAUGCGUUCCCGGGUCUUGUACACACCGCCCGUCACACCACGGAAGUUGGGGGCGCCCGAAGCCACUUAGCUAACCCAUUUGGGAAGCGAGUGUCGAAGGUGAAAUCAAUAACUGGGGUGAAGUCGUAACAAGGUAUC
rnacentral:rRNA from 1 species